rnacentral:lncRNA from 1 species
GCCAUGGCAGGAUUUUCCCUUUUUUCUCUCUCCAUGCAGGAGCCUGACUCGCCUGGGAUAUGUGAUGUGCAGACCAGGGUGAUGGGAGCUGGAGGUCUCUGAAAUAAGGGAGAAGGGAAUCUGGGAGAGCUCAGAUGGACACAUGGAUGGAAGGAAAGAAGGAUGCCCUGAAGAGAAGACCUUCCCAGGGGAGGUGGCCACUGACACCCCACCCUAUUUGAACAGCGAACCCCUCCCUCUCCACACACUCCCAGGCAGGACAAGGGGAGCCAGAGUCACCUGCACCAGCCCCAGAGCCUCCCAGACCAGAACAAGGGGAAGGCCAGCCAUGGGCAGCCUGCAAGAUUUAGGCUAGACAGCAGGACUUACCCCCAGAGGGCUGUGGAAAAGGCCCAUAGCCGGGCGUGGUGGCUCAUGCCUGUAAUCCCAGCACUUUGGGAGGCUGAGGCAGGAGGAUUGCUUGAGCCCCGAAGUUCGAGACCACCGUGGGCAACACAGUGAGACCCUGUCUCUAAAAAACCUUUUUUAAAUUAAUAAAUUAAAAAGCCCCAUGGAUGGAGGACUCAGUAUUGAGCAUCUCUUUGAGAGGAUGCGUGCACAGCCCCCAGUGUGGUACCUGGCACCGUCAGCACCUCGACAGGAUACAGUUUUUC